UUGCUCAGGGAUGGGUGAAAUUCCCUAUCGGCGGUAAAGUCCGCGAGCGCCGGUCCGUUCGAAAACGGGACCGCGCGCAGAUCCGGUGCAACUCCGGAACCGACGGUGACAGUCCGGAAGGAAGAGCA
rnacentral:ncRNA from 1 species